AAUGGAUUUAGGGCUGUGCAGAAUGUGCUUUGUUAAACAAGUGCUUGAAGGCAGUAUGCUUGGUAAAAGUCAUCGCCAUUCUCUAAUCUUGAGUACCCAGGGACACGAUACACUGCGGAAGGCUGCAGGGACCUCUGCCCAGGAAAGCCAGGCUUGCAUGAAGGAAAUGAUUUCCUAUGAUUCUGCUUACUGCUUAAAAAAAUUAAUCAAGUUUUCUGCCUGACAAGUGGUUUCCAAAAGGAAAAGCUUUGGGAGAUAGAAGUCCUCGUUUUGACCUCUGCCCUCCUUGUACACCAGGAGCCAGAAAAACUUCAUCUCUUUUACAAGAAACAUUGAGAUUCCUGUAAAAUUAAGAAAUCACACAAUUUGAUGGUCUACAUUAUCUAAAGCAAAUGAGACUUCUAUUUGGAACAAAGACUACCUUGUUGGGAAAUGAGUCUGCAAGUUAAAGUGUUUUCUGGUAAGUUUCUUUGGUCCUUAGCUUCCUUAAAGGGGAAGUAAUCAUUGCCCAUGGGCCCCUUUUAAUUUCCCCAAGUUAGUUUAUCUAUUGAGUCAUUUAUGAUAGUUUCGAAUUGCCUCAUAGAACAAAGUCAGCACUUCUUGUUUACGCAUACUGUGCCACACUGGCAGAGUUAUCUGGGUCUUCUCUCUCUCAACAUUUCCAGAAAGAUGGUAUCUGUAUCAUCUAGACUGUGUUUGCCCUGAGGAGAAACUAAGACAGACAUGCCCAAAGGCUGAACUCAAUAUCUUUGUAGAAAUUAUUAAAAGCAAUAUCACCUUUAGCCUUGUCAAGAACCUCUAACAAGACCUUUUCAGACCAAAGUGCCCUCAAUAUCAGAGCAUGUAGUCACCCACCCCAGGUUGACCCCGGAAGUAUGAGAGAGCUAAGGUGGGAGCCAGAGGCUGAGAGAAGAAAGGGGGUGACCUAGUUCAUGCCAAAUGAAUCUCACAAGCAAGACUAGAUUGUAAAAUCAGCAAAGUCGCUCACAGCUGCAUUAUGUCCUCCCUGAGCUCUGGGCACUUUUGCCUUUGUGACCUCCUUCCUCCAACAAUUAACAUUAAAAAUUGUAUUUUAUUAUAAAGACAAACAUAA
rnacentral:lncRNA from 1 species